AGUUGCUAUCUGUUGUGUAAGCUUUGCCGCGAUAGUUUUGUGUAGCAUUUCAGAGUUUGUGUGAGAAACUUUCUUUUGUGUGAAAAACGGCCGCGAUGCUAACACGUUAGCCCGUCCCGGAUUUCCCAUGUAAUGUUAGCAUUAACCUAAUCGCUAAAUGCCUGGGCCUAAUAACCAGUGAAGGGGUCUGGAUAUGUUUGUGUUUAUGUCUUAUGUACAUUGUAGUGCAUGGCUUUAUGUUUGAUAUUGUGAAGAAAAUGCAAUUACAGCAGAGAUGUAAUAUUUUAUUUUUGUUUCUGUACCUCAGUUUUACAGUGUUUCAACAGUAAACAUCUAAAACGUACCCGCUGACUCCUGGGCCCUUCCUCAAUUCUAAGUACGCAAGUACGUACUCGCGUUCUCGGCGAGACCGGACUUGCCGAGACCGCACGGGAGUACGGACUUGCCGAGAACGCGAGCACGGACUCGCGAUUUGUAUAAUUGGAACGCCAGCGUACUUGAUGAUGUCACAGGUCCGGAGUUUUUACUGCCGUCCCCUCUUAAUUUAACUCCACUGAGGCGGUCAGCUCUCUGAGCACAGCAUGGAUGUCCUGUGAAAAGGCUUGUUGGUUUGAAAUCUGCUGGUCAAGAAUUUCAUUAUCUGCCUCUGUCUGAUUGGUGGAAACAGAGCAGACCAGAAGCAACAGCGAGAAAAACACCAUGAUCUCCAUUCUUUCUCAGCAGUACUGAUGUUAUGAACAUCCUUCAAACUGUCACAGAUGUAUCAUCAAGGACAGCAGCUUUACAAACUGCACAUCUUUAUUUAGACGACUUCUCUCUUUUUGAUCUCUGAGCUGACUUCAACAUAACUUCAUCUAAACCAUCAACAUGUCUGUUAGAACCCAUCCCUGCAACACUGCUCACAGAUGUGUUACCUUCACUUUCACAUUAAAUCAGCUGAGCAGCUCUCCAUCAGACACAAGUCUGUCCCCAUCCUCCAGCUCUGAUGCAUUUCUGUUUGGUGGUUCUAUCCUGCUGAGCAUCGAGGUGCAGGACGUCCACAGAAGCACAGAGGGAGCAGCCACACAGCUGUCCAAGAAGGCAAGCUGCAUGUAGCUCCAAAACUUUAUCAACAGGCAUCACCUCUCAGACACCUACUGACAUUUAGACACGUGUGCAUGUUGAUGAGGACGAUGCUGACGAUGUUCACAGAGUGUUGCAGGAUGCAGAGCCCACGGUGCAGCUUAGGACUGGAUAAAUGAUCACAUGUUAACCUCAGUUAUGAUUGUUGACUUCCAUCACUCAUGAACACAAGAUCAUUGGAAUAAAAUGAUUCUUUUUGCAUUAACAGUCAUUAUGAAAUUCUUAUAAAUCAAGUACACCUCUUUCCUUUGUAGAAGUUUAAAACACUCACAGUUUAGUUCAGCUCAAGCCAAGAUCUCAGAAAGAAGCUUUGAAAAGCUCAACACUAUUGUGUUUCUCUCUUGCAUUUUGUCAUCUAUAUGUCAUUGGGUGGAAGUAAAUUUAAUGUUUUAUUCUGUUGUAUUAGUUUGUUUUGAUAGUUUACAUGGUUCUAUAUUUAUUGUUUGCAUGCUUUUAUUUUGAAAGGUUCAUAUUAUUUCCUAUCCACAUCUUCCCAUCUUCACCAUCUGCUCAGUCACCUGUUAUAAAAGAUGAAAGUCAUCACAGUGAAGCAGAGCGGACACACAGCAGGGUCACAGCAGAGCGAGCAGCAAAAUGGUCGUCAUGGAAACCUGGGACUGUCCACGGAGUUCAGUCUGUGAAGCUGAUGUCAGUGGACGAGGAGCUGGACCCAGAAAAAUAAGAGACUCAACUUGUGAAAGAGUGAUUGCUUAAGAGAUGAUCUGUGUUACGACUGUUGCACCCGUGCACAUCAUCACAUCAGAGUUUGAUCUUGUGUCAACCUCCUGUUCAUCACAGAGUUCACAUUAUGAGCUACAGGGAUGGAAACUAACAUCUCAGCAGAGGACUGCAAACCAGCUUGUGCUGUACCUCAGAUGGUGAAUACAGAUACUAAUAAACCAGAAUAUUGACACAAUUCUACAUUAUUGCCAAGCGUGUUUACAAACAAACACAAACAUUUGAAAUUCACCAUCUCAUCUACAGCAGUGAUCUACUGUUUACUAUGUGAGAGAGAAACAGUCCAUUUCAUCUUCAGCUACAUGAUAACAAGCUUUUAUUGUGUUGAACCAUUUCUUAGAUCUUAAAGUGAAGCUGAUUACACUCAGUCACUGAAGCAAACCUCUCACUGUACUUUAUAUAAAAUCUGGAUGACAGUGCAGAACAACAGUUUGUAACAUGUAGAAAAUGCUCUGAUAGUUUUCAUUUGUACCUCGACCCAGAUUGUUAAAACAACCCCACCCUAACCUUGCAAUGCUCAAUUAAUAAAACAUCAAAGUUUUAUUAAUCUUCAAUGUCCAUUAAGAUAAAUGAAUCCAGCUUAUAGGAAAAAGUCCUUCUGACUGAUCCUUCUUUAAGGGGUUUAGACUCAUAGCAGGUCUAUUUCAUGGACCAUUUUAACAACACAGUUAUCAGGCUGUCACUGCUUCCUGUGAACACUUUAAACUUUGGACUUAAAUGGCACAAUUAGCCUUGGGCAAAAAGUCAUAGUCCAGUUUUGUGAGUACAGAAAACACGUGCAUGAUAUUUGUUUGUGAAGGAGUGAUGGGAACUGAUGACACUGUAUUUCCUCAUACUUCUGGAGCUUUGACAAACUGACUGAUGUUUGUUGUUGUAGAUCUGCAGCAUCCUGAUACAGGAAGUCUGGUUCGGCUCUCUGAUAAAAAGAAAAGUCCUCCUCUCUGGUCCUCUGAGUCUGACAGUAGAUAACACAGAGGUCACAGGGAGUUCAUGUGGAUGCUUUAAUGUCCAAGUGUCUUUCCUGCUCGCCCUGAUGUGAAAACGCCAGAGUAGCCCUGCAGGUCAAAUCUGAUCAGUCACACCUGUUAUGGCUAAAUUUAAGAACGCUGUCCAUUUCAUUAAAAGUAAUGAGCGGAUAAUGAGGGUAAAUUCUAUAGCAACAAAGUUUCGGCACAAUAAGGUGUAUGAGUUUGGGAAGAAAUAAAGUUUACUAACAGUAGUAAGGUGUUAUUGCCAUCAGCUAUUGAUGGGGUUAUUGGCAAUAAGAAUGUUGCCGAAUUAUGGAGAAAAUAUUACAGAAAAAAAUCUUAACUGUGUAAAGAGUGAAAGAUUGAGUUUAUCUGAUAUUAGUUUCAAUAAUGGCUAUUCAACCUGAAAAAGUACAACCUGCCAUUAAGAGGAUGCCUCCAAGCUGGUGGUUUAGACCCAUUAUCAGCAGCUGUCAAGUUAAAUGAAUGUAAAACUGGGUGUAUGCUGGGUAAUCUUCUUGUUUAUCAUUUAAUGUACACUGAGGAUGUGGUCAUUUUGUCUUACAGUGCUGGUUUGCAGCAGAUACUUGGAGUUUGUGCUAGUUAUGGUGCCCACUAUGAUUUUGCUUUUAACCCUAAAAAGAGUUUUACUGUGAUCGCUACAACUGAGGAGGAAUUUUCCUUAAACUUCCAAGACGGACAUCUGCAAGUCAAAUGUUUUUUCAGGAGUAACGUCCCAACUUUUCAUGACUUACUAAAGAACUAAGUACGAAUUUAUGUGCCGUUUGAAUAACUUGAGAUGUUCAACAGUAAAAGCUUUGCCAGUUCUAACACAUGGUGGCACAAAGUAUGUGUCAAGUUUUUAUAAACUUUGGAAUAAG